CCUACGGGGGGCAGCAGUGGGGAAUAUUGGUCAAUGGGCGAGAGCCUGAACCAGCCAAGUCGCGUGAGGGAGUACUGCCCUAUGGGUUGUAAACCUCUUUUGUCGGGGAGCAAAAGCCGGACGUGUCCGGCUGUGAGAGUACCCGAAGAAAAAGCAUCGGCUAACUCCGUGCCAGCAGCCGCGGUAAUACGGAGGAUGCGAGCGUUAUCCGGAUUUAUUGGGUUUAAAGGGUGCGCAGGCGGAUUGUUAAGUCAGCGGUAAAAUCGUGGGGCUCAACCCCAUCCAGCCGUUGAAACUGGGGAUCUAGAGUGGGCGAGAGGUAUGCGGAAUGCGUGGUGUAGCGGUGAAAUGCAUAGAUAUCACGCAGAACCCCGAUUGCGAAGGCAGCAUACCGGUGCACAACUGACGCUCAGGCACGAAAGCGUGGGUAUCGAACAGGAUUAGAUACCCUGGUAGUC
rnacentral:rRNA from 1 species